GGUGUGGCGCCCACCAGCCUAGACUCACGGACCCUCCCGCCUUGUCCCCGGCUCCACCCUAGCGUCACUCAGGCCGGGGCCCGUCUACCUGGGAAAUCACGGGGCCUGUCAGGAGCCUGACGGUGGCGCGGAAGGCAAGCUGCCGAGAGGCCAAGCAGAGUGCCCAGGCCCAGCACCCAGGCAGGCCCGGCCCCGCCACGUCCAAGGCUCCCGCCCUCUGGAGUAAGCGGCGCGAGCGCUCUGGAGGCGGGGAGAGAGACAGCUGAAAGGAAGGAGGUACCGCCAGGCAGUCUCUCGCGAGAGGGCGGAAGAGCCGUUUCGACGGGGGCGUGUGCCCGCUGAGGCCGAGAGCGUGGUUGUCAGUGAGCAGGCAAGAGUUCAAUGCCGUCCGCCGCCUCCGCGCAGAAGAUUUCAUUAGACGCCCUGAGCGAUGCUUCGGUGCCUGCAGAACUCUGGUGUCCGGGAUUCGCGGCCCAAAAGAAGUAGAACAAAUCACAUGUGGACCACGUGGGGGCAUGGAACCCAGAAGCUGUCACUCGACGGCCUCUGUGGUGAGAGUAAAACCGGCUGUGCCCUGGUUUUAGGUCUUCGUGAGCAGGCCUGGGUGACGAUGUCGUAGCGGUUAAAUAUUACUGAGUGCUCGCAGAAGUUGUCUUUGUCCGUAUACCUAAGGGAAAUAUUAAUAGAUGAGACCAUUCAGUCUUAAUUUUUUCUGAUUACUGUGAAUUCUUCCGAGGAAACCUACUAUAUACUAAGUCAUAGAAAAUGUCCCAAAUGUGCAGACACACUGCUUUUUGUGAAAAGUUUUGUUUUGUUUUGCAGUAACGAGACUGGGGUUUUUUAUUUUGUUUUGGUUUGUUCUAAGUACAGGGUUAUGCCUGCUGCCUGGAAAUACAAGGAGAAUGGAGAGGAGUACAUAGUAUGCCUUAAAUAGAAGGAGGGGAACAAUAGAGCACUAACAGCCCUAAGAAAGGAGAUAAACUGCUUAUUUCGGCAGAUAAAACGAAGGUGUGCUUAGAGCAAAUUAGUGGUAGCACCUGAGCAUGCCUAGUUGCCAGCAAUUUGCAAAAGCCUUGAUACACAAUAAUUUCUGUUAUGGUGGAAAAACUAAAGUUACUAGCAUACCAAGUUAUGUUAAGGAAGGGAGGAGUUUACCUGGUUGAAUGUGUAUGCCAGUUACAUUUCAGUUUACUGUUACAGAAACCAGAACAUGCCCUGAAAAAUCCUAACUGUUUAUCUGUGAGGUGGUUUCUAUGAAGAUUAAUCAUCCCAGAAACUAUUAGAGGUCUACUCAACCUGUCCCAUUUAAAAGAUAGAAUCUGAAGAUUUAAUGAGAAAAAGCACUUGAAGAAUUCAAAACUGUGGCUAAUCAGGUAAUUUGAAAAUAUGGUUAAAAAGCAUCAACGUCUCUGUAUCCCAAGGCCCUUGCUCUUUUUUGUAUUCUGACUUUUUUGGUUUAGCUCAUGCUAAACUGCAUUAGUAAUUCAUUUUCUUGUCUCUUUAUCCAGAUCCUAUUCAUAUUUCACAUACUAGCUCAAAAAUCUUAUCUCUGUGAAGCUUUGGUUGAUUCCUUCAGCUCAGAAUGUUUUGGAUUUAUUCUAAAAGUAUUGUGUUUUGGGGGUAUUGCUCACUGGGCUUUGGAAUACUAUCUCUGGCUGUUUAUGUCAUGUUUAUGUGUUGUGCCCUCCAACUGGUUUGUCGGUUCUUGGCUACUGGCUGAAAAUAGUAGUCAUUGUUAUUCAGCAAAUGGUGGAUAAAUGAGUGAAAGGAGAGGUUUCUUGUGUAAGGAUUGUCAGUUUGAACCCUUUACCAAUUAGUUGUGCACAGUUCUGCAUAUCUUAGAUGGAAAAAGCAUUGUAGAUACUUGACCGUGUUAUGAGGAGUUUUGUAUUUUCAGUCUGCAGUUUGAGAUAUUCCUUAUGUGAUUAAAGUGUGUAUCAUUUGUAUUAAUCGAAUAACCCCAGGUUUGAUGCUUGAAAGAGAUUCUACUGUUGGGAAUAGUGGAUGGGUGAUACAGCUCUAUUUUCUGAGAAUUCAUUUUGUCUUUGGUGUUUUUUACUACUUGCAGCCACUACCACUUGGCCUCAAAGUAUAAGCAUGUAGCCUUGCCUUUCUUUAAUAUUUUAACUGCAAAGCUGAGGAGAGACUAAAUUUGGAUCCUUUAAUAGUAAAACUGGAACAUUAUACACAGUUUAGGGUAAGAUGGGUGUUGAAAAGUAAUUUUCUAAUAGAAAAACCUGAGUGGAUAUUAAAAAUAUAAAAUAAGGGUAAUCUUAUAUAUAAAAUAUAAGAUUUUCAACUUUUUAAAAAUUGUAGGUGAUUUAUAAUGUGUUAAUUUCUGCUGUACAGCAAAGUAAUUCAGAUAUAUAUAUACAUUCUUUUCAGUAUUUUGCACUGCGGUUUAUCAUAGGAUAUUGAAUAUAGUUCCCUGUGCUAUACAAUAGGACCUUGUUAUUUAUCCAUUCUAUAUAUAAUAGCUUAUAUCUGCUAAUCCCAACCUCCCACUCCAACCCUCCUUCAAACCCUUCCCUUUGGCAACCCAUAAGUCUGUUCAAUAUGUCUGUGAGUCUUUUUCUGUUUUGUAGAUAGGUUCAUUUGUGCCAUAUUUUAGAUACCACAUAUAAGUGAUAUCACAUGGUAUUUGUUUUUCUCUUUCUGACUUCACUUUGUGUGAUAGUCUAGGUCCAUCCAUGUGGCUACAAAUGGCAUUAUUUCAUCCUUUUUUAUGGCUGGGUAGUGUUCCAUUGUAUAUAUAUUCUUUAUCCAUUCACCUAUUAAUGGGCAUUUAAGUUGUUUCCAUGUCUUGGCUAUUGUGAAUAGCGCUGCUAUGAACAUAUGGGUGGAGGUAUCUUUUUGAAUUAUAGUUUAGUCUGGGUAUAUGCCUAGGAGUAGGAUUGCUGGAUCAUAUGGUAAUUCUAUUUUUAGUUUUUUAAGGAACUUCUAUACUGUUUUCCAUAGUGGUUGUACCAGUUUACAUUCCCACCAACAGUGAAGGAAGGUUCCUUUUCUCUACGCUCUCUCCAGCAUUUGUUAUUUGUAGACUUGUUAAUGGUGGCCAUUCUGUCUGGUGGGAGUUGGUGCCUCUUUGUAAUUUUAAUUGCUCAGUGUUGAGCAUUUUUUUCUAUGCCUUUUGGCCAUAUGCAUAUCUUCUUUAGAGAAAUGUCUGUUUAGGUCUUCUGCCCAUUUUUCUUUUCUCUCUCUCUCUCUCUCUUUUUUUUUUUUUUUUUUUUUUAAUUUUAUGGCUGCAUCUGCAGCAUGUGGAAGUUCCUGGGUCAGUGAUUGAAUCUGAGCUGCACCUGCAGCAAAGCUGGAUCCUGUAAUCCACUGCAAUGGACCAGGGAUGGAAUCUGUACCUCUGCAGCAACACAAACUGCUGCAGUCAGAUUCUUAACCCACUGUGCCACAGCAGGAACUCCUAGGUCUCCUUCCCAUUUUUUGAUUGGAUUGCUUUUUUGUUGUUGAGUUGUAUGACCUGUUUGCAUCACUUUAAACUUUCAUUUACUGUAGCGAUGCCACCUCCCUGUAGCAAAGGCCAUUUUUAACUAGUCUUACCAAGGAAUAGCUCCUAGACAAUUUCACUCUUUAAGUUCAGGCCUGAGCACAGAGGACAAAAGAGAGUUCACGUACUUGCCUAUAUAAGGGUUUCUCAACUUUGGCACUAUUGAUGUUUUGAGCCAGAUUAAUUCUUUUUUUUCUUUUAAUUGAAGUGUAGUUGAUUUACAAUAUUGUUUCAGAUGUAUAGACAGCAAUUCAGUAUUUUUGCAGAUUAAAUUCUAUUGUAGGUUAUUACAAGAUAGUGGCUAUAAUUGUGCUGUAUACAGUAUAUCCUUGUUGCUUAUCUAUUUUAUACAUAGUAGUGUGUUAAUCCCAUACCUCUAAUUUGUCCCGCCCCCCCUUCCCUCUCCCCUUUGGUAACCACAAGUUUGUUUUCUACAUCUGUGAGUCUGUUUCUGUUUUGGAUAUACAUUCAUUUGUGUUAUUUUUUUAGAGUCCACGUAUAAGUGAUGUCAUACAGUAUUUGUCUGUCUCUGUGAGCCAGAGUGUUCUUUGUUGUGGGCAGCUGUCCUGUGCAUUGUAAGAUGUUUAGUAGGAUACUUGACUUUUCUCCACUACCUGCCAGUAAUACUCCAUUCCUAGUUAUAACAACCCAAACCAUCUCUAGACAUUGCCAAAUGCCCCUGGGGUGUAGAAUUAUGCCCGUAAUCACUAGCCUGCAUAAGUGCUUUUCUCACAAUUCUGGUUUCCUGCUCACCCCAUUUGAUGGCAGGAAUUACCUCUCCCUUAAAAACAGAGAUAAGAGAGUCUAAUUCUCCAAAAGAGUAUAGCACUGGUCUUGUUGCCCUCCACCAAGAGGCCGUAUCACUGGCAAAUAGUAAUCCCAAAUAUCUUAUGAUAGAUAUUACAUUGUAAAUAACAAGGACUUUAAUUUUAGUACCUAAACAGUAAAUUACCAUCUACACUUUAUAAGUAAGCUUGCCGGGUUUCAGAAUUCAAGUCAUAACCUCAUAAGUCAGGUCACUGAGGACUUUUGAAAUUUAACUAUAUUUUCUUUAUGUAGCACUGGGCUAAUGGGUGGGACAAGGGAGAAGAUAUAAAAUAUGAUUUUAUUUUGUUUGUUUUUUUUUCCUUUUUUGGCCUCACCUGCAGCAUGCAGAAGUUCCUGGGCCAGGGAUCAAACCUGAGCCACAGCAGUGACCCAAGCUGCUGCAGUGAGCCAGAUGCACUUCACCACAAGGAUUUUAGCCCAUGUGGAGUUUAUAAUAUAGUUGCAGAGCCAAGUUAACAUGGAACCAUUAAUGAAUAACAUGGGGGCGUUCCCACUGUGGCUCAGUGGGUUAGAACCUGACUAGUAUCCCUGAGGAUUCAUGUUCAAUCCCUGGCCUUGCUCAAUGGGUUAAGGAUCCAUAAGCUGUGGUAUAGGUCACAGAUGCAGCUUGGAUCUGGUGUUGCUGUAGCUGUGGUGAAGGCCGGCAGCUGCAGCUCUGAUUGGACCUCUAGCCUGGGAACAUCCAUAUGCCACACCUGCAGCCCUAAAAAAUAAUAAUAACAACAUGGGAUAAAAUAGAAUGACAGAUUUUACCAUAGAGGUGCUUGGGCCUAGACUUCAGAAAUUCUAAAUGUGUUGAAAUGUGGAGGCAGACUUCAAGCUAGAAUGGAAAGCUUAUUAGGGAGUUAUAAGUUGAAAAAUUCCCAGCACUCAUACAGGAUUGACGACUUCAGAAUUACCAGUUGGAGUAAAGAUCUCACUGAACAGCUGAGGAAUUCACCAGAGACACCUGAAGGCUUUUGCCUUUGUAGUAGGGCUACCCUAGCCCUGGAUUAAAGGCUACUCUAGAUUUAACCUAACAUUUAAAAACAAGCCUUGAAGGAGUUCCCGUUGUGGCGCAGUGGUUAGCAAAUCCUAUUAGGAACCGUGAGGUUGCGGGUUCGAUCCCUGGCCUCACUCAGUGGGUUAAGGAUAAGGUGUUGCUGUGAGCUGUGGUUUAGGUCGCAGACGCGGCUUGGAUGCCGCAUUGCUGUGGCUCUGGCAUAGGCCGGUGGCUACAGCUCCAACUGGACCCCUGGCCUGGGGACCUCUAUGUGCCGCGGGAAGAGGCCCCAGAAAAGGCAAAAAGACCAAAAAAAUAAAUAAAAGCCUUGAAAGGAUCAAGCCGAUCCACAAAUAACUGCCUGCCAAAAAAAAAAAAAAA
rnacentral:lncRNA from 1 species